rnacentral:ncRNA from 1 species
GCUGGACUCGGUUUUGCCGAGUGGCUCGGCCCGGCGCCUAUCCCCGGGAUAACC